rnacentral:rRNA from 1 species
AUCAGCAGCCGUAUCACCCUGCAACCCUCUGAAGCCCAGCAGGUGUGAGCCUGGCCAGUGCCUGGAUGGGAGACCUCCUGGGAAAAACUAAGGCUGCUGCUGGAA